rnacentral:other from 1 species
GGAAUUCUGAGAUGUUUGUUCCGUUCUCAUUCGUGUUGACCGAACAAUUAUUAUUACCUUGGGAUCCAAACAAGCCAUGUGGAUAACAAGCCUUUUCAUUUGGAAGUUAGAAGCCUGACAUAGGAGCCCACCUGCAAACAUGCGGGUUCAAUACUCAGAGAACCAUAUAACGGCAUUAUCGGAUUUCCU